UACGGGGGGUGCGAGCGUUGUCCGGAAUCACUGGGCGUAAAGGGCGCGUAGGUGGUUUGAUAAGGGUGUGGUGAAAGUCCGGGGCUCAACCCCGGAUCUGCCGUGCCGACUGUCAAACUCGAGGGCUGUAGAGGCAGACGGAAUUCCGGGUGUAGCGGUGGAAUGCGUAGAGAUCCGGAGGAAGACCGGUGGCGAAGGCGGUCUGCUGGGCCGUUGCUGACGCUGAGGCGCGACAGCGUGGGGAGCAAACAGG
rnacentral:rRNA from 1 species